rnacentral:ncRNA from 1 species
AAAAACGCGAUGACGCAGAGUAGUAAGCAAGGACGCGCUUUCAGAGAAGUGCCGGGUGGUGCGAGGCACAAAGUCGACGGAAUUGCCGAACUGGCUGUAUCAGCGGCUGGACCGAAGGUGAGUAGGUGCAGACGGGUGCUCCCGUUACAGUGCAGGGAUAUGAUGGUAUCCCAUAGAGGGUGUUCCCAUAGAGGGAACAAAGAAGAGUGGUACCGCGGAAGGUUUUUCAUCCUUUCGUCUCUUCU